CAUGUUCUGUUGGUGUAACCAUCAUAAUUGAAAUUUUUCCUGUUAUUUAAGCAUGUAUGGCAAAAUUAAACUGAGGAUGUAAAUUUGUAUAAAGGCAAAGCUGGCCAGAGCAUAUAUAUGUGAGUAUUGCUGACUGUACUCCCACCAGCCGAACACACCCACACAAAAAAGGAACAUUUGUAGAGUAAUAACUACCCCCUCUGUUUCAUAUUGUAUUGUGUUUUAGUUUUGUUGUAAGUCAAAAUUCUUUUACUUUGACCAAGUUUGUAGUAAAAUAAUUAACAUCUAAAUACCAAACAAAUACACUAUUGAGACAUAUUUCAUGGUUGAUUUUUCUAUAAACUUGGUCAAAGUUAGAGAAGUUUGACUUAGGACAAAACUAAACACCUUAUGAUAUGGAACAGAGGGUAUACAAUAUAAGUUAGCAGUCAAAGUUGCAUUUUACCUUCUCGAUGUCCAAAACAUCACUUACCUGUGACCAGAGGGACUGUAUAGGAACAUUCAUCACUUACCUUAAACCUAGUACUCCUUCCAUCCACGAGAGUUGUACGUAUAACUUUUUUCACAGUGACCAAGGAGAACACUAACUCCUCUGAUCCAUUUAUUCAUCUAUAUGGAUUCAUACGCAGUGUCGUUUCGUUUUUCCCGCAUAUCGCGCAUACGCAACC
rnacentral:precursor_RNA from 1 species